CCCUUAGAUGUUCUGGGCCGCACACGCGCUACACUGAAGGAGGCAGCGUGUACUCCUGGAUCGAAAGAUUUGGGUAACCCGCGAAUCUCCUUCGUGCUAGGGAUUGAGGUUUGCAAUUAUCCUUCAUGAACGAGGAAUUCCCAGUAAGUGCAAGUCAUAAGCUUGCGCUGACUACGUCCCUGCCCUUUGUACACACCGCCCGUCGCUACUACCGAUUGAAUGAUUUAGUGAGGAUUUCGGACUGGGACUGAUGCGGCUUUCGGGCUGCGUCGGUAUUCUGGAAAGAUGUCCAAACUGUAUCAUUUAGAGGAAGUAAAAGUCGUAACA
rnacentral:rRNA from 1 species